rnacentral:lncRNA from 1 species
CAGACUUUACCAUCCGAACGCGAAGCUUACCUUUCCAAAUUUAUGCGAACGCAGCCCUAUAGUUGCGAACGUGAAGUGCAUUAAGUAGCAUGCCCAGAAUCCUUCUAUGCGAUCGCGGCCCCAACCUCGCAGUCGCGAAGACCAAAUUACCCCUGCAACAGUUGAUGAAAUUUCUACAAUUUCUCCAAGUCUCAAACUUCCCGUUAGCCAUCCAAAAUCAACCUGAGGCCCUCGGAACCUCAACCAAAAGCACCAACACAUCUUAAAACAUCAUCCAAACUUGUUCCAAUCAUCAACACACCUCAAAAAACACCAAAACCAUCAAUUCUCAUCGAAUUCAAGCCUAUGUUUUCUAAAAACUUCUGAAACAUGCAUUUGAUCAAAAACCCGACAAAAGCACCUCUGAAUAACCUGAAAUUUAACACACACAUCCCAAAUCACAAAACGAAGCCACAA